CAAAUGCCUUGAUCUGGACGAGACUGCUGAAUUGAAGCAAAGGUGGAGAAGGAAGCAGCAGCACUAGAGCUUCAGGUGCAACUGGAGAUAGUGGUCAGAGCAGGAACCUUCAGAGCAACCUGGGGGGGAGAGCCAUUCUGGAGGAGCAGCAGGACUGUGAUUCCGAAGCUCAGACUGCUCUCCCAAAGAAGAGAACAAAAAAAAAUAGAAAACCAGCAAAUACAGUGCCGUGUGCAGAUGUCUCCUGCAUGAAUCCGAAGCAUUUUCUUGAGAUCAGAGAAAAGGGCGUUCCAAAGACAGCCAUGAAGGAGCUCAGCAAAUUCUUACUGGAAUUUGAUGAACAUGSCACUGUUGCAGCAUUGCAGGCUGAACUGAUCAGCCUUGCACAACAGUGGGAAAGACUGAAACAGUCAGCAUUGGAGGAGUACAACACCAGGGCUGCCGCUGCCAGUGAUGAAUCAGGGGAAGGCUUUGAGGAUCCUGAUGAAAGUGUGAAGUUGGUGAGCAGAAUUUGUUCCACAUGUAAAAACUGCCCGGUACACUGCUAUCUUCCCCUGUCUCUACAAUCUGCUCACGGAUGCGUAUCACAUCAUUGAUUUGGGCUACAAGUCCCUCCUCACCCUAUCCAUCACUCAGGUGGCUAGUGAGAGGACCUUCUCCACCCUGAAAUUCAUGAAGAACCGCCUAAGAACCUCCCUCACUCAAGAGAACCUUGAAGCGUUCGUUUUGAUGGCAACAGAGAAAGAGAUUCUUAUGGGACUUGACAAAGAUGACAUCAUUGACAAGAUGGCAGAGAGCAGUGAGUUACUGCGCCUCCUACUGGUUUACUAGUGGUAAUUACUCACUGGUUACUCUGAAGUAGCUAUGCUAUGACUCUUCCUUAACAGGCUGACAAGAGUGAAAGAACAUUUGCUGUGAGUUAAAGCUUUUGUACAGAGGCAUGUUUUUUGGACUUUCGUAUUAUACUUGCAGUUAUGUAGCCAAUGUUCAAUUUCAUUGACUCAGUGUAUAGAUGUUUAUUUUUGUGCUGUUUGUUUUAUGGACACCAKUGAGUGAACAUUGUAAUCUACAUGUUUUUGUAGAGGAGUGCUUUUUUGACUUUUGUAUUAUACUUACUUACAUUUUUGUAGCUUAUGUUCAAGUUCAGUGAAUGUGUGUGUGAAGUUUUGAUACGCUUGAUGCUUGAAUAUAAAGAUAAUCAUUUGAGCUAGCUCUGUAUAUCUCAUCCUCCAUUUAAAAGUGUAGGCUAAUUAUUUUGUGUGUCCAGCCUUGUACAUUUGUAUGUGCUACAGUAUGAUUGGUGUAUUCCUAGUGAGUUUSAGGGUGCACCCAUAGCUAUAGCAUACCUUAAACUCAGUGUUCAGAUAGGCUAAUUGUUGGUCAGUCCCAAAUGUUUGUAUUUUGUAAUGUGGAUAACUUCUUCCCAGAUGAAUAUAGUGACCAAAUGUAUAACUAGUUUGGUACCGUUACAUCAACUAAUAGGGUUAGCCUACAAAAUUAGCGGUCUGGUGGUUUGCGUGAACAGGGUGGCCUGGGAUGGAGUCAAAUUUCCGGCCUGAAUUAUUGUUUCAGUCCACCCCUGCACAUGGGUGCCAUGGUAGUGGAUACAUUGCCUUUUAAAAACAUGUUGGGACACACAUCCUAGACUAAAAUGCAAGUUUGUAGAUUUUCCAUUAGGUAAUAUGCUCCCUUGAAGUCU